UCUGCGACUCAUGAACAGAUCUAGGGUUUUUCUUUCAUUCGAUUUCAAAUCCAUGACCCCAUCCUGUGAUGGUGUGGUGUGCAGUGUUAAAAUCCGCCGAUUAGGGUUCCGGCAGUGGGAUUCUCGAGCAGAUUGGUGGCAAAUGAGACAAGCAUCUGGCGGUAGAUGGUGGUUGAGGUAGGUUCCGACAACCUGGUUGAGUUCUUUACAUGAAACAAGAGCUAACAAACCCAGAAGCCAGAAUUGUUCUUGCGUCUUGCGAGUUGAAGGCUAUAAUAUCGAAUUAAGGAUUGAUUUUGGUGUGUAACAUCACUGAUCUGGGGCUUAUUGCAAUCAAUAAUCCAUUGUAGAUUCAAGGCUAUAAUUGCUAUUUAAGGUUUGAUAUGGAGUUUACUGUGAUUUUAAGACUGAAAUUAUUGUUUGUGGCUGAUUUAAGAACCUGAUUAAGAAACAAUUGUCAAGGUCUGUCAAAAGCACACAAGAACAAAAAGGGAAUUCAGUAAAAAAAUUAGAUGAAGAGGGGUGCCACUUAAGUUGGUCAAGGAGAAUGAAUAUUAUGAUAGGCGUAGCUAAAGGUCUAAGGUAUCUUCACAUGGAAAUCGAGCCACCCAUUUACUAUAUCCAAGCUAAACUCAAGUGCAGUGGUAUCUUACGGAAGAUUUUUCACCAAAGCUUGUUGACUUUGAAAGUUGGAAAACGUUUGUGACGAGAUCAGAAAGUAGUGCACAUUCGAUUACCCACGAAGGCGAUAUAUGUGUCCUUCCUGAGGUGCCUGCACACUUCUGGAAAAUGCUGGUUAUAUCAGAAGCAGGGCAGGUGGAGCAUUCCAAAAAGGAGUACGAAAACCCUUCGCUUUUGUGAUUUGCGCCCCUGAUUUUAGACCUUGUUGCUUUUGUACACUUCGUGCUUUUUUAAACCAAGGUCAAAAUAUCCAAACCCCAGAAGAGGUGGUUUUACCCGAUAAUUCCCUCUGGUAGAGGUGUUAAGAAGAGGUGGUUUUACUGGCAUGAUGACGGGUCAUGUUGGCUGGAUGAUGGUGACCGUACACAUCAACAAGUGUGCGCUCUUCUGCUAUGCAGAAGACUAUUGAAAGUUUGAAACCACAACUCACUGCAAGCUAGAGUUGAUGCAUUUGGGGUUUAGUUCUCUUUUAUUAACUGUUUUCCAAUCAAGAAUUGUCAAGAUUUGUGUAUAAGAGAGUAUCAUGGAACACCUUCUUCCAUGCUCGCUGCAUGAUAAAGAAGAGGCGUUAAACCCCAAACCCGAGGGUACUUCUCAUGUUCGUCAUUUACUCGCAGAAGUAGUGGUUGUCGGCUACUGUGCUGGAGCAGAUUGGGCGUGUUAAUACAGGAGAUUUGGAACUCCAAGAUAGCUCUACCGAUGCAUUAAAACUUCGGUUUUGGGUAUCCUAUCGAGGACAAACUUAGCUAGAACUGGUCAGGAUAAAUAUAGAAGACGAAGGCUUUGCAGAAACUGAUUCCCAAUUCAAAUAAGACUGAUAAAGGCAUCAAUGUUGGAUGAAUCAUUUGAAUAUCUGAAGUAGCUUCAGCUCAGAGUACAGAUGUCAGCGAACGGGGUGAAUUUUCAAUGUCUGUACCACCAGGAAUUCCAGCCACAUCAGCUUCACCGUUCAAGAAUGGCGCCACAUGAACCUGAAUAUGCAUGUGGCGUCACCACAAGCCCUAAUGAGUUUUCCAAUCUGAGACACUUUUUAAAACUAAGCUCAUACCCAUAAUGAUUCUGGACUUAUUUCCUCACCGACGUAUAAAUUCAGACUAUAAAUGGGUCAAAAAGUCUCUUAUUAAUUUCGGUUUUGAUUAGCAUGUUAGAAGAUGAGUCGGAGGAAGUUAAAGAUAAUGCUGCUCAAGUGCUUGCUUGUUUAUACAAGGACCUGUUGUGUGAUCGAAUGUCGGGUGCGCUGAGGCGGUGUCCUUUUGCACUAACCCAACUUAUUUUUUCUGUUAAACUCUUAACACGUGCCACUCACAUGAGGGCACAUGUUAAGAGUUAACAGAAAAAUUAACUGGGUUAUGGCAAAAGGACCCCACCUGAUGAGAAUCAAUAACAUAAAGGACAUCCAAUGUAACUUCGUUAGCUAAAGGACAACGCCUACAAUUUGGCUCAAACUUAAAGGAUGUAAAAUGCAAUUUACUGUC